AUGGCCUCCGAGCUAGGGCUACCGCCGCCGGCGAAAGGCCCACCGGCGACACCCACCACCAUUGCCGCUAUCAGCGACGACCUCCUCUGCGAGAUCUUCCUCCUCCUUCCCUCCCUACCGAGCCUCGUCCGGGCCGCCCUCGCCUGCCGCACCUUCCUCAACGCCGUCCGCUCGUCCCCUGCCUUCCGCCGCCGCUUCCGGGCGCUCCACCCGCCGCAGCUCCUUGGAUUCUUCGGAGAACCCCGCCGCGCCCCCGUACCUCCCUUCGUCCCCCUCCGCAGCCGCUCCGACCCGGACCUCGCCGCCGCCGUCCGCGGUUCCGAUUUCUUCCUUACCCGUCUCCCGGAAGACAGCGGCGACUCCACCCUCAGGUGGAAGCUACAAAGCUUCCACGGCGGCUACGUCGUCCUCGUCAAAGAUGCCACCCACCAGAUCGCUGCCUACAACCCUGUCACGCAGGCGCUGCAUCUCUUACCCCGGCCGCCGGAGGAGAUCCUAUUCUCCGACUCUCUUGAGGCCCACAUUGUCUUCUCCGAAGAGGACCAGCGGGUGUUCCGUGUGGUCUGUGUCCAGCACCAGAGCACGCGCCUGCGGGCGCCGGCUUGCGUAGCCGUCUUCUCAACGGCGACAAGGGAGUGGCAGGUUUCCCCAUGGGUGGAGACCUCGCCGCCGCCGCCGCCGCCACCGCCGCCACACGACUUUAUCAAGUUUUACCCUGGCACGCAGCUGAAUGGAUUCGUUUAUUGGAAACACACGAGUCGACCCUAUGUACUUGUUCUCAACACUGUGACAGUGCAAUUCUCUAGAUUGGAUUUGCCGCCAUUCUUGGGACAGAUUAGCUCUACGCGAUUCAGACUUGGUCAGACCAAGGAUGGGAUGCUAUGUAUGGUUGCCAUAGAUCUCUCUGAUGCAGAGAGAGGAACGCUUCAUGUUUGA
rnacentral:rRNA from 1 species